rnacentral:rRNA from 1 species
UACGUAGGGACCAAGCGUUGUUCGGAUUUACUGGGCGUAAAGGGCGCGUAGGCGGCGUGCUAAGUCACUUGUGAAAUCUCUAAGCUUAACUUAGAACGGUCAAGUGAUACUGAUGUGCUAGAGUGCAGAAGGGGCAACCGGAAUUCUUGGUGUAGCGGUGAAAUGCGUAGAUAUCAAGAGGAACACCUGAGGUGAAGACGGGUUGCUGGGCUGACACUGACGCUGAGGCGCGAAAGCUAGGGUAGCAAACGGG